rnacentral:rRNA from 1 species
UACAGAGGGUGCGAGCGUUAAUCGGAGUUACUGGGCGUAAAGGGCGCGUAGGCGGUUAUAUAAGUGAGAUGUGAAAGGCCUGGGCUUAACCUAGGAACGGCAUCUUAGACUAUAGGACUAGAGUGCAGUAGAGGGUGGCGGAAUUUCCGGUGUAGCGGUGAAAUGCGUAGAGAUCGGAAGGAACACCAGUGGCGAAGGCGGCCACCUGGACUGUCACUGACGCUGAGGCGCGAGAGCGUGGGUAGCAAACAGG